GCCGUCGUAGACUGUGGUCGGUCAUUUCUGUUCAAAUGCCGUCUCUGAGAUCGAGAGUCAAGUAUACCAGGAAAGCGGAGGUUCAAAUCCUCUCGACGGCA